CAGUAGCCACGGGAAUACGGAGGGUGCAAGCGUUAAUCGGAAUUACUGGGCGUAAAGCGCACGCAGGCGGUCUGUCAAGUCAGAUGUGAAAUCCCCGGGCUUAACCUGGGAACUGCAUUUGAAACUGGCAGGCUAGAGUCUUGUAGAGGGGGGUAGAAUUCCAGGUGUAGCGGUGAAAUGCGUAGAGAUCUGGAGGAAUACCGGUGGCGAAGGCGGCCCCCUGGACAAAGACUGACGCUCAGGUGCGAAAGCGUGGGGAGCAAACAGGAUUAGAUACCCCAGUAGUCCCUGUCUCUUAUAC
rnacentral:rRNA from 1 species